GUAGGGGUCUCUGAGGAGCUCAGACAGGAAGAGAUAAGGUCUGAGCUGGUGUCCACUGGAGUGGAGUGAAGGUGACUGCUUCCAGUGACAUCCCGGAGCUGGAAGUUGAUGGCUAUAGUGGGGUGAAUGGUGGCUCCCCAAAAGAAAUGUCUACCGAGAAGCUGUGAAUGCGACCUUAUCUGGAAAAAGGAUCUUUGCAGAUGUGAUUAAGUUAAGCGCCUAGAGAUGCAGUGAUUGAGUUAUCUGGAUGGGCCCUAAAUCCAAUGACAAGUGUCCUUAGGAGAAGAGGACACACAGAGGGAGACAGAGCCACAGAGGGAAGGGCCAUGUGGAGACGGAGGCAGAAACUGGAGCGAUGUGGCCACGAGCCGAGGAAGGUCCCGGGCCCCUAGCACUGGAGGAAGCCCCCCAGAGCCUUCAGACGGAGCACAGCCCUGCUGACACCUCGACCUUGGCCUUGCAGCCUCCAGAACCACGAGAGAAGACAUUUCCGUGGUCAGAGCCACCACUAUGGUCAUUUGUUACAGCAGCCCCUGCAAAACUCAUACACGGGCCUCCCAGAUACGGGUCAGCAGGCUCCCCGACUUCAGGGGGACAAGUGGGUGGAUGGCAACAGCACGAGCUGGAACAGCAGCUGCGGGGCUGAGCAGCUCCGAGGGAGGGUGAAGACGCACAGCUUGCCUGUGGAAGUGAAAACAGCUAACGCUUAGCAGACUUGCCGUAUGCCAGGCACUAUGUUAAAUGCUUUAAUCUCAUUAGCUCCAUUCAUCCUCUCAACGCCUGUGAGGCAGACACCACUCUAAUCUCCAUUAUACAGAUAAAGAAACUGAGGCACAGACAGGAUACCUCGCCCAAGGUCACACGUCUGGUAAACGGAGGAACCCACAUGCAAACCUCGACUGUCUGACCAUUGCAAUGUUUCUCUCAAACGCGUUGAGUCUCAGUAGAGACGAGCAGGGGACAGGCACUGAGCAGCGGCCACGGAGAGGGAGGAAGGACUGAGCGAGGACCAAGCAGAUCCUGGCUCACCUUUGGGCUGCCUGCGGUAAAGGGCAAUUUUAUCCACAUUCACAUUAGAAUAUUUUAGGUGGAUUAACUGUCCAUCGACUUCCCCGCGUCCACCUGCACAGAAGUCACGGCUGAAUGACCGGAAGCAGCACAGGCCUCAGACAGCAUUGCCGGCCGCCGGCAGAAAGCAGCCCAGUCGGCCCCCAAGUUGCCAGCGAGCCUGCAUUUUCCAUUUCCAAAAUGCAGCCUGCUCCCCGGCUUUGUCCCUCCAGGAAAUCCUGUUUGUGCUAUUUUGGGAAAAUUGAUGGCUUUUUUUUCUGGGCUUUCCAGAAGCCUGACAGAUGGUCCCAGAUUUGCACACUGUGUUUCCAGGGUGGCGCCCGAGACACUCUCUCGAUGAUUCUUUCUACUGUGUCAGGCGUUUCAACCAAAUGUGUUGCUUCAACAAAUAUUUAUUGAAAGCCUGCUGUAUGUAAAGUUCUGUGCUCGAUGCUGGGAGAUGAAUCAGAAGGUACUUAUUGAACAUUUAUUAUGCUCUGGGGCAUGUGGGAGGUCCAGUGCCAUCCCCAGAGGGGCUGGGGGCCCUGGAACGGAGCACAUUUACGAGGAGCCUCAUGCACACAUGUACACACUCCCUUGGAACAUUUUUAUACAAGCAGGAUCACAUUAAAAGAAAUAACCAGGGACGCCUUAAAAUGGAGAAAAAGUCAUGAAAGAACAGGGAGGGGACCGUUCGCCUCUGUGAGAGGGGAGUGUGUGUUUGAUAACGAACGAGGAGCUGGAGGCUUUUCUCAAACUUGCUGGAGACUCAACUCUUCUCCCUUCUCCCAGGAGAAAGGCGUGCCAAAGAGGGCAUGCAGGAGCCCGGAGGCUGCUUUGUAGAGAAGAUGCUGUUUCUGCUCUCAAGGAAAUUGUGUACCAAGCAGGGAGCUAAGAAAGUCCAGUGAAGAGGGACGAGAUAUUCCGCGGCAAUUAAGCCCCAGACCCUGCGUGAGUUCUGCAGCGACAGCCAUCAUAUGUUUUCCACAGCAAGAGGCUGCUUCUGGGUCCCCCAGGUCAAGACGGGUGAAAGGCAGCCUCAUCUUUCCAGUGAAUUCCAUCUGGGAUCUGGGAAUCCAUCUGGGAUCCAUCUGGCUUCGUAAGGAAGACCCAACUUCUAAUGCAGAGUGAUGCUGUUCCUUAAGGAGAAAUGGUUCCCAGCCAUGGAAGGAUCUUUUUAUAAAUCGGCCUGCAGAAACUUUGCCAAGGGUAACUCAGGCGUGUGGCAGCGCAGGCGAGGGUGCCUUCGCUUCACGGCGCUCUUCAUAGCCCCACAUCCGCCACAGGUAUG
ensembl:lncRNA